rnacentral:rRNA from 1 species
AUGCUGGCGGCAGGCCUAACACAUGCAAGUCGAGCGAACAACCCCAACAGGUUGUUAGCGGCGAACGGGUGAGUAACACGUGAGAAUCUACCUUGUUCAACGGGAUAGCUUAAGGAAACUUGAGGUAAUACCGUAUAAUUCCAAGAUCUUGGUAAAGAGAUUCAUCGGAACAAGAUGAGCUUGCGGUAGAUUAGCUAGUUGGUGGGGUAAAGGCCUAUCCAAGGCAAUGAUCUAUAGCUGGUCUGAGAGGACGGACAGCCACAUUGGGACUGAGACAAGGCCCAAACUUCUAUGGAGGGCAGCAGUGGGGAAUAUUGGACAAUGGGCGAAAGCCUGAUCCAGCCAUGCCACAUGAGUGAUGAAGAUCCUACAAAAAAGGUACAAAAUUAUGUACUUGGGAUUGUAAAACUCUGUUUGUUUGGUGAUAAUAGUGAUAGUAACUAAACAAAAGCUCCGGCUAACUUCGUGCCAGCAGCCGCGGUAAUACGAGGGGAGCGAGUGUUGUUCGGUUUUAUUGGGCGUAAAGGGUAUGUAGGCGGUUUUGUAAGUCAACAACCAAAUCUUGGAACUUAAUUCCAUAGCGUAUGUUGAUACUGCAUAACUAUGAACUUAAUAGAGGUGAACACAAUUCCAAGUGUAGAGGUGAAAUUCGUUGAUAUUUGGAGGAGUACCAAAGGCGAAGGCAGUUCAUUGGGUUAAGUUGACGCUGAGGUACGAAAGCGUGGGGAGCAAACAGGAUUAGAUACCCUGGUAGUCCACGCCCUAAACGAUGAGUGCUAACAGUUGGGUGUAAAUGUAUCCAAGAAAGUACAUCUUCGGAUAUACCAAAGGUUACAUGUUUAUGUUUGAUUGUAUAGCUAACGCGUUAAGCACUCCGCCUGGGGACUACGACCGCAAGGUUAAAACUCAAAGGAAUUGACAGAGAUCCGAACAAGCGGUGGAGCAUGUGGUUUAAUUCGAAGCUACACGAAGAACCUUACCAGCCCUUGACAUUUUAGGUUCGAGCACGGUCAUCCGUGCUUACGUUUAUCUUGGAAACAAGAUCCUAACGUCCAUACUUUCGGCAUGAAACACCGAUAAGAUUCAACCUUUAACAGGUGCUGCAUGGCUGUUGUCAGCUCGUGUCGUGAGAUGUAUGGUUAAGUCCUAAAACGAGCGUAACCCUUGUCCUUAGUUGCUUAAGAUCGGGGCAAAGCCCAAGAUUAGUUCUCUAAGGAUACUACCAAUGAUAAAUUGGAGGAAGAAAGGAUAACAACAAGUCAUCAUGGCCCUUAUGGGCUGGGCUACACACGUGCUACAAUGGUGGUUACAAAGAGUCGCAACGUUGUGAAGCAGAGCUAAUCUCAAAAGACCAUCUCAGUUCGGAUUGUACUCUGCAACUCGAGUACAUGAAGUAGGAAUCGCUAGUAAUCGUGGAUCAGCAUGCCACGGUGAAUACGUUCUCGGAUCUUGUACACACCGCCCGUCACACCAUGGGAAUUUAUCUCGAUCGAAGCAACCUCAUCUUGGUUGCGAGAUCCAAAUAAACGACCGA